AUUGAACGCUGGCGGCAGGCCUAACACAUGCAAGUCGAACGAGUGGCGGACGGGUGAGUAAUGUCUGGGAACUGCCUGAUGGAGGGGGGUAAAUACCUGAAACGGUUGCUCAUACCCCAGACCAACGGAUGUGCCCAGAUGGGAUUAGCUAGUAGGUGGGGUAAAGGCUCACCUAGGCGACGAGCCCUAGCUGGUCUGAGAGGAUGACCAGCCACACUGGAACUGAGACACGGUCCAGACGCCUACGGGAGGGAGCAGUGGGGAAUAUUGCACAAUGGGCGCAAGCCUGAUGCAGCCAUGCCGCGUGUAGGAAGAAGGCCUCCGGGUUGUAAAGUACUGGCAGCGGGGAGGCGUUACCCGCAGAAGAAGCACCGGCUAACUCCGUGCCAGCAGCCGCGGUAAUAC
rnacentral:rRNA from 1 species